GACGAACGCUGGCGGCGUGCUUAACACAUGCAAGUCGAACGGAAAGGCCCUGCUUUUGUGGGGUGCUCGAUUGGCGAACGGGUGAGUAACACGUGAGUAACCUGCCCUUGACUUUGGGAUAACUUCAGGAAACUGGGGCUAAUACCGGAUAGGAGCUCCUGCUGCAUGGUGGGGGUUGGAAAGUUUCGGCGGUUGGGGAUGGACUCGCGGCUUAUCAGCUUGUUGGUGGGGUAGUGGCUUACCAAGGCUUUGACGGGUAGCCGGCCUGAGAGGGUGACCGGCCACAUUGGGACUGAGAGACGGCCCAGACUCCUACGGGAGGCAGCAGUGGGGAAUAUUGCACAAUGGGCGGAAGCCUGAUGCAGCAACGCCGCGUGCGGGAUGACGGCCUUCGGGUUGUAAACCGCUUUCGCCUGUGACGAAGCGUGAGUGACGGUAAUGGGUAAAGAAGCACCGGCUAACUACGUG
rnacentral:rRNA from 1 species